AUCUCUGAGCGGUUGGAUCAACUCGGCUCGUUGCCGUCGAUGAAGAGGCGCAGGGACAAGCUGCGUGAGAUUAGUGUGAAUUGGCAGGAUAUUCUUGAACAUCGACAUGCUUGAACGCAUAUUGCGGGCCUCAGGUCUCCCUGUGGCCACGCCUGGCCGAGGGUCG
rnacentral:rRNA from 1 species